UACGUAGGGUCCGAGCGUUGUCCGGAAUUACUGGGCGUAAAGCGCACGUCGGCGGAUCGAUCAGGCAGGGGUGAAAUCCCAGGGCUCAACCCUGGAACUGCCUUUGAUACUGUCGAUCUGGAGUAUGGAAGAGGUGAGUGGAAUUCCGAGUGUAGAGGUGAAAUUCGUAGAUAUUCGGAGGAACACCAGUGGCGAAGGCGGCUCACUGGUCCAUUACUGACGCUGAGGUGCGAAAGCGUGGGGAGCAAACAGG
rnacentral:rRNA from 1 species